rnacentral:rRNA from 1 species
GACACGACUCUCGGCAA